rnacentral:lncRNA from 1 species
UCGUCACGAAAAAUCGCCAUGGAAACACUGAGCUCCUCUUCUGCCUUAUAUUCUCCAACCAGAAUCCUUCGAUUCCACACUUCUUCCAAAAGUGCGUUGCUUCACUGCCUUCUCUUUCACUCUAAUUUCUAUCCUUUAUUCUUCAUUUUUAUUUAGCAGUAUGAUUCAGGGAAUGAAAUUUUGAUCUUCGAACGAUUCUAGCAUCGUCCCCUUCUUCUGCAAUCCCACCCUGUCCAAGGUGAGUUUCAAAUUUCGUUUCGUUUUCUAUUUUGCUAUUUUGUAAUUCAAUUUCCAUUUCAAUUUGGUGGAUUGGUGUUCUCCUCGGGAUUUUCGGUAACAACGAGUAUCAGGACGCGGCCCUGGUUAUUGGUUCUGAGUGCUGCUUCUGUCAGAGGCUGGGCUACUGGUUCCGGCAGUUAAGAUUUCUACUCUUGUAAAUAAUAUGGAAUGAAGUAGAAAACAUAAAGG